UACGUAGGGGGCAAGCGUUGUCCGGAUUUAUUGGGCGUAAAGCGCUCGCAGGUGGUUCGUCGCGUCGUGCGUGAAAGACCCCGGCUCAACUGGGGAGCGUCGUGCGAUACGGGCGGACUGGAGGCCAGUAGGGGGAUGCGGAAUUCCGGGUGUAGUGGUGGAAUGCGUAGAGAUCCGGAGGAACACCAGCGGCGAAGGCGGCAUCCUGGACUGGUCCUGACACUCAUGAGCGAAAGCGUGGGGAGCGAUCCGG
rnacentral:rRNA from 1 species